GAACAGGGAAGAAAAAGGACCACACACCACACCAAACCACCAAUCUGCGAAGGCCGACUCAGUGCACACGACCACCGUAUGGCACACCACACCGGUAUUAUGUUACUCAAUUUUCUCCACCCUCCGGAAUGGCCUCUCACCCUGCCCCGUCCGUUCGAUCCUCCCAUAGGGGGAGAAAAAACGCUCCAUUAACCACUUCACCUGUCGGCGGCCAUCUUGGUUUAUUUUUCCCCUGAUUGUGGUCCUCCGCAGCUCCGCCGCCUCAUUCUUCCUCCUUCUCACCUCACCCCGGCCACCCCUGGGGUUGUUCGUUCCGGGCGUCGCUUAUUUGCUGUAAGUGAAAAUUAGUGAUCAAAUAGAAAUGCUUCCGACUUUAAGUGCUCUGAUUGCCAACAUCCUGCGACCAUCUUCUCCCCUACCCCUCUCCCUCCUUGAGAAUGAGACACCCUCAGGGCUGCUUUAUAUCUGUCGCUAAGCAAUCAAACUUUACUUUAUUCGCAAAGCACCCCCGCCGCAAAGCUUUCGUUGCGCGUUCGGCAAGAUUGUACAAGAUAAAGCGUAUUUUUGCCAUUUGAGGACAGAAAAAGGGGAAAAUCACUUAUUUCCCCUCCAACACAACUGAUCUGUGAGAGUGCGCGAAAUAAUAAGGAAAUUUCUCACCAACACACACACGCACACACCGACAGCCAGUUCAUCAUCUUUAAAUUGCGAGCAAACGCUGCGCGGCGCAACGAUUUUCCUUCGCAUAGUAAACCGCUUCCAGUAUGUUCGGGAGAUUUCCCACACACUUGAAAGUUUCUCUCUCUCUCUCUCUUUCAGGCGCACUCUCUGUCUUGUAUGCGGCCUCAAUUUUCACCUCGCCCGUAUGGUGCUAGUGGCGGCACUCUUCAACGGUAUGCUCUCCGCUGCCUAAGAACGGACGCUGUUUAGAGGAACACAAGUUUUCUAGUGCGCUGCUGCGUUGCAUCAACAGCUGACGUGAUUUUCAUUUCACCGAAACGACCUUGCUAUUUGCGGUGAACGCGUUAAACACAAGCGCUGUUAUUUAUCUUAGUUGUUUAAAAAUUCAUUUGAACAUUUCCACCACAAGCUAAACAUGAUUGCCGCCAGCAUAAUGAUGAGUCGUAUCUUGACGGAAGAGGAGCUCGGCCCAAAGCGUUACGACGAGCGCAAAAAGGAAACCAGCAAGAAGAUGGCGAACUCGCGGCUGCAGCAAGUUGACAAAGGGAGUAAAGUGAAGGAAUCAAAGAACUGCUCCACAACAUCGGGAGAAAGCCUAACUAAGUGAACGAUUUGUUUGUUCUUUUUAUGUUGUAAACAAUUCCCUCAAGUGCCAUUGCAAUAAAACAUCUAUUUACAAGUGUGUAAUUCAUGGA